GGUUGAUCCUGCCAGUAGUUAUAUGCUUGUCUCAACGACUAAGCCAUGCAUGUCUAAGUAUAAACCAAUUUAUACGGUGAAACUGCGAAUGGCUCAUUAUAUCAGUUAUAGUUUAUUUGAUGAUACCCUACCACUUGGAUAACCGUGGUAAUUCUAGAGCUAAUACAUGCACGAAAUCUCGACUCGUUCGCGGGAAGGGAUGUAUUUAUUAGAUAAAAACCAGCCCGGUAACUCGUUACCGGUUCAACCUGGUGAUUCAUGAUAACUUUGCGAAUCGCAAGACAUUAGUCGG
rnacentral:rRNA from 1 species